AUCAUUAAUUAUUCAUACAAAUAUGUUAAAAAAGGUUUUAGUAUAUUUUAGUUUUUUAUUUAGUAGAUUUUAGUUUUUGAUUUAGUAGAUUUUAGUAGAUUUUGGCCAAACAUGCAGUAGAUUUCGUAAAUAAAAUGUGGCAACGCUGCGCUUCGGCCAUCUUGGCAUCUUCAUCUUGGCCACCUUGCUUUGCCGUGGGUGGAUCGUUUGUAUUAUUUGUGCUUUUUAAGAAUAUUUUUUUAAUUCGGAUACUUUUAUAAUAGCUUUAAUAGUAUUAUUAACAUAGUGAAUAAAAUGGUGUCCUGUUUUUAACGCAGUUGGAGUAGCAGAAACAAAUGUAGAUAAAAAAAUCUGCAGGAAUAACGUUUCAAUUAUGACAGAAGCUCGAAACAAAUGACUGUGAAUGAAAAGCCCUAUUAAAAGCUUUCCAGAAGAUCCUGCGAAGAAGACAUGAAGUAUAGAUCAGAUUUGUUAAUAGAGGAGUAUGUUCAAAACACUUUUUAGAAAAAGAUAUUGACAGAACUUCACUUUCAUCUGUUCGUUUAAGAGACUGUGCUGUUCCAAUAGCUUAUGUCACACAGGUAUAUGCAUUUUUUUUCUUGGUUUUAACAUCUUUAAACGCGAAAUACGCAAUAGCUUAUCGAAUUGAUGCCAUGUUAUUUUUCUUUAUUAAGGUCUUUGUUUAUUAUUGUGUAUGUGUAUUAACAACAGAAACAUUUUUGGUUAUUCUUUAUUUUAUUUUAUAUUUUGUCAUCAAGUGUUCAGUCAAUGUAUGUAGUUUUCUUAUGUACACCUUUAUGGGUUUAUACCUGGUGGAUGUAUAUUUCAAUAAAUAAAUAAAUAAAUAACCUAAUUAAUAAUACAGUCUGUACAAUAUAGAUACUGUUGUAAUUCAUUAUCUACAUCGGAGAUCUAAGUUGACAUUGUUGCCCAACUGCAAAAAAUUUUUGAAUUCAUUUUAAGUCAAAUAUAUCACAUAAUUAUUGCGAAGUAGAUUAUACAACAAAACAGAUUAAUAUUCAAUGUAAAUAAAUAAAAACAUCAGAAAUAGAAAACAAGAAUUAAGGUAUAAUCUUAUGUUACAGUUAUUAAGGUACCAAGGGUAUUAUAAGGAUAAUAACGCUUGAGGUCAAUGGUGUUUUUAACAAGGGCCUGAGGGAUAUAUGUUGACCGAAAGCGUUAUUAUUAUAAUACCUGUGGUGCCUUCAACGUUUAAUGUCUGACUAAAUUAUUCUUUAUAUGCGAAAAAUUUGAAUGAAUUUUGAAUUGAUUAGUUUUUAAAUAAGUACAUUUACCAGUAACAGUAGUAACAUAAUUGUGGUAACCAUAGUUUUACUUAGGUUGAUAUUUGUCAACUUGACAGUAUCUAAGUCGUUAUUUAAAUUUAAUGCCCAAGGGCGUUAUAUCAUACUUAACAGACUUCGAAAUGUCAUUAUUUGUCAAAUAAUGUACCAGUAGGACAAUAAAGUAAAUAAUAAAAACAAUAAAUAUAAUGAAUACUAAAUACUUAUUUGUUUGUGAAAAAUCUAUUUCUUUGUGGCUUUUUUGUAAUUAACUAUUCUAAUGAGGAAAUAAGCCACAAUUUACUUGAAAAAAUAAUUUUAUUAAGGUUUCUACUUCCAUGUCGGAUGUCGUUGUCAAAAUACAAAAUGUUCAUUAUUAUUAUUUUAUUUAUUAAAUAUUAUUUAUUAUUUAUUUAAAUAUUAUUUAAUAUUUAUUUUUUUAUUAUUAUUAUUUAUGCGUAUUAUUACCUGUAAAUAAUAUUUCUUCUGAUUGUUAAUUGUAAAGGAUAGAAAAAUUACCUUUUAUUUUAUUUUCUUUUAAAAUCAGCUGAGAGAAGUGGUCUACAAAAAACCAGAAAGGAAACGGAAUAUGUGGCUACGAAAAGCAAAAGAAAGGUUUACAAAGCAAAUGUGACACAUUUUUUUAUAAUAUUUAGGAAUGUCAGUAAAUUACAUUAAAAAAUGUAUGUAAAGAUUUUUUGCAAUAAAAAUGUUUAUAUUUA